GAUGAAGAACGUAGCGAAUUGCGAUAUGUAAUGUGAAUUGCAGAUUUUCAGUGAAUCAUCGAAUCUUUGAACGCAUCUUGCGCUCCUUGGUAUUCCGAGGAGCAUGCCUGUUUGAGUGUCAUUAAAUUCUCAACUCCCUUUGAUUUCUUCAAGGGUGAGCUUGGAUUGUGGAGGCUUUGCUGGCUGUAAAGUCAGCUCCUCUGAAAUGCAUUGGCAAAGGUUGUGUGCAUGAAAUAUGGCCUUUCGGUGUGAUAAUGAUCACUGUGGGCUGGUUGCUUUAACACCUAUGUCCAACUUUUUCCAGCUGGAAAAAAACACUUGACAACUUGACCUCAAAUCAGGUAGGACUACCCGCUGAACUUAAGCAUAUCAAUAAGCGGAGGA
rnacentral:misc_RNA from 1 species